GUUUACACAGUACUUUGUUCUAUUUUACUAAGGUAGCAAGGUCUAGAGCAAACAUUCACACGCGGAUACAAAAGUUGAAUCAGAAAACCCUGGAUUUAUUCCCAGGUUUGCUGCUGACUUAGGGGAUUUUUCUAAAGGUCAUCUGACUUCUUGAUGCCUGUAGAGUGAAACUUGCCCUUGCUUUACUACACAGAGAUGUUGCAAAACUAAACGAGAUGUUGGUGAAAUGUCUCAGACACGUGGAAUAAUAGGGUGGACUUUAUUCCCCAGUGCAUUGUCACCUAAGAUAUCUGUUUCACUAAAUCCACUGUGAGAAGAGGAAGCUAAAGCAACCAUAAUGGGCCUUCAGCCCUGGGGGGGCCCUUGUCCCCUGGAGUUUUCACGCUGCUAUAAAGACACACCCAAGACUGAGUAAAUGGACUAAUACAGAACCUAAGAUUUUAUAUCAAGCCAAAACCUUUUUAAGUAUCAUUAUCAGCAUGGAAGAACUCAGAAAAUAUUGUUCCUUUGACUUCUUUUGAAGGAAUCUACUAAAGAAUAAGUUUCAGACAACUAAAUUUCUGCAAAUAUCAAUAGAAGGACUGGUGAUGAGAAGUAUGUAGUUACUUGUAAAACCAACAUGAGUGAGGAUUUAAAAGAAGAGAUUGUAAAAUGUGAUACCUGUAUAAUCUGAUAAUUAUGACAAAGAAUGGAGAUAACAUAUAUAAACAACAUUUUAAGUGUUUUAAUAAUGAUAAUGUGGUAGUAUUAGUAUUGUUCUGAGAAUAUAGUAUGUGGCAUAAAGCAAAUGUAUAAUUAUGGGAUAUUUUAAUUCUAUUAUCCCACAUAUCUUUGAGAAGUAGGAUUCUCAGUGUGGGGGAAAGAAGAUACAAGUGGAAUAUAGAAAUGAUUAAGUAAAAACUUUGUUUUUUCUCAAUCUGAAAAUAAAAAUCUUCUAUUAACUCGAGAUAUACAGAUUGAAUAGAUAGAUAUCACAUCUAUCUAUCUCUCUCUCUCUUUCUCUCUCUCUCUCUCUCUCUCUCUAGGUCCUAUUGGGUCUGUCUCUUAAGAGAACCCUGAUGGAUACAGGCAUACUGAUUUUUAUUAACCUAAUUAAUUCCACUUUAUUCUAUUAACUUAGAGGGGUGGGUAAAGGCAUCUAUAAAGCACAAUCAGUGCUGGGUUUCACCCUGCCUUGUGAUGACUUUCCAAAUAUUAUGGGGAUUAGUUGGCCCAGUAUAAGGUUAAACUUGAAUUUUUCUGCAUCGGAGUUUAGGUUUUGACAUCGAUUUGCUGAUAUCAGUCUUCAUGCCCAUGUGACUCUUACUGGCUGAAUUUGAGACAAGAAAAUAAGAGAGUGGAGGUUUCCAGUAGCCCAAUCCUUGCAUACAAUGUCUAGGUUGAGGGAUAGGGCCCUAACUGCCUAUGUGAUUAAUUUUUAAGAACUUGGAGAAUACCUAGCUUUAAAAAGAAC
rnacentral:lncRNA from 1 species